AUUGAACGCUGGUGGCAGGCCUAACACAUGCAAGUCGAGCGGAUGAAGGGAGCUUGCUCCUGGAUUCAGCGGCGGACGGGUGAGUAAUGCCUAGGAAUCUGCCUGGUAGUGGGGGAUAACGUCCGGAAACGGGCGCUAAUACCGCAUACGUCCUGAGGGAGAAAGUGGGGGAUCUUCGGACCUCACGCUAUCAGAUGAGCCUAGGUCGGAUUAGCUAGUUGGUGGGGUAAAGGCCUACCAAGGCGACGAUCCGUAACUGGUCUGAGAGGAUGAUCAGUCACACUGGAACUGGGACACGGUCCAGACUCCUACGGGAGGCAGCAGUGGGGAAUAUUGGACAAUGGGCGAAAGCCUGAUCCAGCCAUGCCGCGUGUGUGAAGAAGGUCUUCGGAUUGUAAAGCACUUUAAGUUGGGAGGAAGGGCAGUAAGUUAAUACCUUGCUGUUUUGACGUUACCAACAGAAUAAGCACCGGCUAACUUCGUG
rnacentral:rRNA from 1 species